UACGAGGGGGGCAAGCGUUGUUCGGAAUUAUUGGGCGUAAAGGGCGCGUAGGCGGUGCGGUAAGUCUGAUGUGAAAUCUCCGGGCUCAACUCGGAGUCUGCAUCAGAAACUGCCGUGCUUGAGUGUGGGAGAGGUGAGUGGAAUUCCCGGUGUAGCGGUGAAAUGCGUAGAUAUCUGGAGGAACACCGGUGGCGAAGGCGGCAUCCUGGACCGACACUGACGCUGAGGAGCGAAAGCCAGGGGAGCAAACGGG
rnacentral:rRNA from 1 species